AGAGUCUGCCAGGCAAUCGUCGCUGCGUUUACGCAGGGGAGGAAAGUCCGGGCUCCGCUGGGCAAGGUGCCAGAUAACGUCUGGGCGGCGCAAGCCGACGGAAAGUGCAACAGAAAGUAUACCGCCUAAGCAUCUUCGGAUGCCGGUAAGGUUGAAAUGGUGCGGUAAGAGCGCACCGCGUGGGUGGCAACAUUCCACGGCGAUGGUAAACCCCACCCGGAGCAAGACCAAAUAGGGACCCAUUAAGGCGUGGCCCGCGCCGGGUCCGGGUAGGUCGCUUGAGGCCAGUGGCGACGCUGGUCCUAGAUGAAUGAUUGCCCACGACAAAACCCGGCUUAUCGGCAGACUCUCAUU
rfam:Marinobacterium stanieri strain DSM 7027 genome assembly, contig: Ga0111666_101